AUGAAGAGUUUGAUCCUGACUCAGGAUGAACGCUAGCGGCAGGCUUAACACAUGCAAGUCGAGGGGUAACAGGAAUAUUGCAAUCCGCUGACGACCGGCGCACGGGUGCGUAACGCGUAUACAAUCUGCCUUACACGGGGGGAUAGCCUUUAGAAAUGAAGAUUAAUACCCCAUGGUAUGUGACUGUGGCAUCACAGACACAUUAAAGGUUACGGGGGAAGAUGAGUAUGCGUCCUAUUAGUUUGUUGGUGAGGUAACGGCUCACCAAGACGACGAUAGGUAGGGGCCCUGAGAGGGGGAUCCCCCACACUGGUACUGAGACACGGACCAGACUCCUACGGGAGGCAGCAGUGAGGAAUAUUGGACAAUGGAGGCAACUCUGAUCCAGCCAUGCCGCGUGCAGGAAGACGGCCCUAUGGGUUGUAAACUGCUUUUAUACAGGAAGAAACACUCCCUCGUGAGGGAGCUUGACGGUACUGUAAGAAUAAGGACCGGCUAACUCCGUGCCAGCAGCCGCGGUAAUACGGAGGGUCCGAGCGUUAUCCGGAAUCAUUGGGUUUAAAGGGUCCGUAGGCGGGAAUUUAAGUCAGUGGUGAAAUCUUGCAGCUCAACUGUAAAAUUGCCAUUGAUACUGGAUUUCUUGAAUUAGUGUGAAGCAGUUAGAAUAUGUAGUGUAGCGGUGAAAUGCAUAGAUAUUACAUAGAAUACCAAUUGCGAAGGCAGAUUACUAAUAAUAUACUGACACUGAUGGACGAAAGCGUGGGUAGCGAACAGGAUUAGAUACCCUGGUAGUCCACGCCGUAAACGAUGGAUACUAGCUGUUCGAUCUUCGGAUUGAGUGGCUAAGCGAAAGUGAUAAGUAUCCCACCUGGGGAGUACGUUCGCAAGAAUGAAACUCAAAGGAAUUGACGGGGGCCCGCACAAGCGGUGGAGCAUGUGGUUUAAUUCGAUGAUACGCGAGGAACCUUACCAGAGCUUAAAUGCAUAUUGACAGGGCCAGAGAUGGCUAUUCCUUCGGGCAAUUUGCAAGGUGCUGCAUGGUUGUCGUCAGCUCGUGCCGUGAGGUGUCAGGUUAAGUCCUAUAACGAGCGCAACCCCUGUUGUUAGUUGCCAGCGAGUAAUGUCGGGAACUCUAGCAAGACUGCCGGUGCAAACCGCGAGGAAGGUGGGGAUGACGUCAAAUCAUCACGGCCCUUACGUCCUGGGCUACACACGUGCUACAAUGGUAGGUACAGAGAGCAGCCACGUCGCGAGGCGGAGCGAAUCUAUAAAACCUAUCACAGUUCGGAUCGGAGUCUGCAACUCGACUCUAUGAAGCUGGAAUCGCUAGUAAUCGGAUAUCAGCCAUGAUCCGGUGAAUACGUUCCCGGGCCUUGUACACACCGCCCGUCAAGCCAUGGAAGCUGGGAGUGCCUGAAGUCCGUCACCGUAAGGAGCGGCCUAGGGUAAAAUUAGUAACUAGGGCUAAGUCGUAACAAGGUAGCCGUACCGGAAGGUGCGGCUGGAACACCUCCUUU
rnacentral:rRNA from 1 species